UGCGCUAGGGGAGCUAUGUUUAAUGGCUGAGAAGGCAAUUGCCUGACCCUUAUAACCCGAUCUAGAUAAUACUAGCGUGGGGAAGUGCAGUU
rnacentral:ncRNA from 1 species